UUAAAAGGUUUUGCUGGCAUGGGGAAGUAGAACUAAUGCUGUCACUGACCCUCUCUGGGAGAGGUGGGAUGGGGCAAGGUGGACGAAACUAGGCAGACUUCCAGGCAGAAGAAGCACCACUGUUGAGAAUACUGGUCUUGGGCAUCCACUCAUCCCCUGCACCACCACAGGGUUAACCUAAAAGGAGCCGGAGACUCAGUAGUUCAGUCUUUAUGUCUAUGUAAAGAACAGGGGCUGGCCCGGAGGGUGACAGCUUGUGGGGACUCUUGGGAGGGCCUCACCAUCCACUGGCGAAGUCAGCAGCCUCUUGCAGAGAUUGACCACCCCCCCGUAAUGCUCCAUCAGCAGGGAUGAAAGAGCCUGGCAGGUGAUGCUUAAAUCUUCAAGGUGCACUGGAAUGCCUGCCCUUCCAGUUAUGUGAUGGCUCUGUUAGGAGAGAGAAGCAGGGCAGCAGAUCUCUUAUAACAUCAGCUAAAAGUUGGUUGUGGGAUGGAACCACAGCUCAGCUUCAUCCUCGAAGGUGGGCAGCUGUAUUUUUCUGCUGGAGAUGUUACCACACUUCAGUCAUUUAAAAGUGAAGCUGCUUCCAUCUGGUAGAAAGGGAACCCUGCCUCUAUUAAGAGAUUCCUGCUGAUUAGAGUUCAGACACUGGGGAAGAAAGUCUUACUUAUCUCUCUCUAACAAGGAAAUGACACCUUCAGAAGAAAAACAGAGUCAUAGGAAUAGACAGUUAAUUGAGUUCAAGAUGGAAGAGUCCUUAAAUAGCCUUCCAAGAAUCAUAUGGGACAAAGACUAUUCCACCCCCUACAUUCCCCCCCCCCCCACUUCCAGUCAGCCCAGUUCCCAGUCAGGUUCCUAAGGGCGGGCAGCCAACCUUACCUCUUAACUCCCCCCAAAACACACUGGUCUUGGGGUUACAGAGGUUUUUUCCCCUCCCCUCCUGGCCAAGGUCUGUUUCUUUUCAGGGAUCCUUUGUGUCUGUACAAUUGGGGUACAAGCAAGAAAAAUAAGCAAAGAAAACAAAGCCACAUUUUAUAGGCUAGCUUUAGGCUUUCUUUGCCAAGGUCCUAUGGAUGUAAGUUAUAAAAGUAUUCUAAUUUUACAGAUAUGGUAACUGAGGCUCUGAGGGGUGACCCACAGUUAUAAAUAUAAAUGUCUAAUAUAGAUUUGGAGCCCAUUCAGGUAUGGCUAGUUCUAUUACCCUGUGCUGCCUUUCCUACUGAGGGCCUUUGAAUCUCCUAAAGUGCUAGGAUUAUGUUAGCCUCAGAUCUUCGAUUUUGAUUUUGAAGGAGUCUUUGGGGGACUGUGGUGCUUACUAAAUGCUUGACCCGAGUCUAAACCUAUGCAUUCUUCACAUCAACAAUUAAGAUAGGCUGUGCCAUAGAAUCAGGUUCUAUUCAACUUCUCUUUCAAGGCUGGUGGAGCCUUGGGCUUGGGUUGGGGCAGAAGCAAGUAGUCAAAUGGAGCUCUUGAACCUUUCAGAGUGGGUAUUAAUAUCAGUGUUCACCCUAAAAGACAGAAUUUUUAAGACAGAUAUAACCAGAUCUACAUUAUCUUUGGUCCCCAAGUUACAUUUUAGCAAAGCUCUGGGAUAACAUUUCCCCACCCAUCAAAUAGGAAAGUGUCAGUGUUGCCUCCUCCCAACCUUCUGGGGAAGGAGAUAGGUAGACACGAAUGAGAAAUUUAGACGGAAAAAAUGUCUAGCCCCUGGCUAGUUCCACUGCCUCCACCAAAAUCCGCCCACAAGGCAUAAGAAAUUCCUAAGCAAGCUCUCUUAUAAUCAUCACAAGGGAAAUAUGGACCAUAAAAAGAAAAAUCUGAGAAAAUAAAGGAGAUAAAAAUUGGUUUAAAAA